rnacentral:rRNA from 1 species
CCCUUAGAUGUUCUGGGCAGCACGCGCGCUACAAUGGUCUUCGCAAACGGAUGCAUUCUCGAAGGAGAAUGCCAAUCUUGGAAUCUAUGCCUUGGUCGGGACAGUUGCUUGCAAUUUUUCGACUCGAACCAGGAAUUCCUUGUAAUCGUGAUUCAUCACAUCACGAUGAAUACGUCCCUGCCCUUUGUACACACCGCCCGUCGCUCCUACCGAUCGAAGAGUUAGGUGAAUUGUUUUGAUCGAUAAGAUUUGACUAUGGUCAACUCUCGUUGUGAAAUUCUGUCAAUCUGACUGUUUAGAGGAAGGAAAAGUCGUAACA